rnacentral:rRNA from 1 species
AACCAUUGGAACGGUGGCUAAUACCGGAUGUGCCGAGAGGUGAAAGAUUAAUUGCCUGGAAAUGAGCUCGCGUCUGAUUAGCUAGUUGGUGGGGUAAGAGCCUACCAAGGCGACGAUCAGUAGCUGGUCUGAGAGGAUGAUCAGCCACACUGGGACUGAGACACGGCCCAGACUCCUACGGGAGGCAGCAGUGGGGAAUUUUCCGCAAUGGGCGAAAGCCUGACGGAGCAAUACCGCGUGAGGGAGGAAGGCUCUUGGGUUGUAAACCUCUUUUCUCAGGGAAUAAGAAAGUGAAGGUACCUGAGGAAUAAGCAUCGGCUAACUCCGUGCCAGCAGCCGCGGUAAUACGGAGGAUGCAAGCGUUAUCCGGAAUGAUUGGGCGUAAAGCGUCCGCAGGUGGCUAUGUAAGUCUGCUGUUAAAGAGUCUGGCUUAACCAGAUAAAGGCAGUGGAAACUACAUGGCUAGAGUGCGUUCGGGGCAGAGGGAAUUCCUGGUGUAGCGGUGAAAUGCGUAGAGAUCAGGAAGAACACCGGUGGCGAAAGCGCUCUGCUAGGCCGCAACUGACACUGAGGGACGAAAGCUAGGGGAGCGAAUGGGAUUAGAUACCCCAG